AAAAUCAUAUGUAUUUAUAUUUCGGUAGCAACAAUUUAUAAAAAUACAAAAUAUAACUUAUUAUAUUAUGUAAUUAUAAAACUGUUACUAUAAAACUCAUAAUUAGAUAGAUAAAUAUGUUAUUCCUGAAUUUUGCCCCAUAAAUAAUACAUCACACACAUAUGGGGCCCACGGGAAACUCUAUAUAUACACACGUCACCUCACUGAAUAAUGCAGAGACCAUUCUUCCCUUUAUUCCAUUCACACCCGCACUACAACACACUGAAAAAAAACCCAACAAUACACUAGAUUCACACACCAUCACUCAAAAACAUAGGGAAAAAACACAAUACAGAACACACAUAACUCACGCACAAUAUUCACAUACACACACAGAGAGCAAAAGCUCACAUUUCACCGAAAAACUAGCGAGUCGCGACUCACCGGAAACCAUUAGCACACACACGAUACACGCAGGGAGCUCCGUAUAGUGAGAGGGAUUUGAACGGAGAGGGAGAUUGGCCUAGAGAGACUGUGAGAAAAAUAGAGAACUGAGAAAGAUAGAGAAAAUAGAGGAACAGAGAUUGAGGAAGAUAGAGAGAAAGAAACGGAGAGGAGAGGGGGAUAUUUGAGCGAGAAAUGAGAGAAAAGAGACAGGGGUUGACUGUUCAGGCGAAGUCUUCACCAGGAAACGCCACUACUGCCAAAAUUUUAAUUCGUCCACCAUCUUUCAUCACUGUCAAGCUCACUGGAGCUCCGGUGAGACGAAAGCGGUGAGCCCAGCUCCGUUCUGGCCAAAUUAACAAAACCUGACCCCUUUUCAGUCGGUUCCGACUAAGUCCCGUCGAAAAAUGACCAAGUUGAAAACGGGUCAGUCUGGUAGAUUCAAAUUAGUGUUGAUUUUGGAGUUGCUGCGAGUUGGAUUUGGUGUUUUAUCAUCGAGGGCACGAACUCAGUCUCAUUUGAUUGAGUAAUACUCGAAUAAAAGCGGCAUUAAGAUCCAUUCUUCAUCUCAUUCUCAAUUAAUCUUGAUUGUCUGACACUUUGUGUGAUAAAUUUAUUGGUGUGUGAAUCUUGUUUUUAUUGAUUUCGAUAUAUUUUAUAUCAUCGCAAUUGAUUGUUGAUAUUGAUUGAUGGUGUGAAUUGGAUAAUCAAAGAAGUUGGGCUCAAUUUGGAGGGUAAAUCUUAAUUGUGGGGAUUAUGUUAAAAGUUGGUUAAUUCGUAAUUUUAUUUGGAAUAUCUAAUUUCGUAGUUGAAUAAUUUUGAUAUCAUUGAACAUGAUAGUGCCAUUAUAGGUCGAGCUGGGUAGGCUCGGUUAGACAAAUUUAGAACUUGUGGAUUGUAGAAUGUUUGGAAUAUUUAUUGAAUGAUUUUUGUUUACCGUAUUUGAAUCAAUUGUAUUUAUUUAGCUGAGGAAUGUCCCGAGGUAAUUUGUAUUUAUUUACUGGGGAAUGCCCCGACGUAUUAUGUUGGCGGAAGAUGAUCGUGAUCAAGGCCCGAGGCAUCGGGUAAAGCAUUGGAGUAUAGUUUAGAAUUGGUGUAGGUUUACUUUUCAGUACCUUUAUAUUUUGGAUUGUAAUAAUUGGACUAGACACUGUAUUUUUUGACUUAUUUUGUUUUGUUUGUUUGAUUGCUUGUUUUGUGUGUUUUGUGUGGUUUAUACAUUCAUC
rnacentral:lncRNA from 1 species